rnacentral:rRNA from 1 species
AUUGAACGCUGGCGGCAUGCUUUACACAUGCAAGUCGAACGGUAACAGGUUAAGCUGACGAGUGGCGAACGGGUGAGUAAUGCAUCGGAACGUGCCCGGUCGUGGGGGAUAACGCAGCGAAAGCUGCGCUAAUACCGCAUACGAUCUGAGGAUGAAAGCGGGGGACCGUAAGGCCUCGCGCGAUAGGAGCGGCCGAUGUCAGCGUAGGUAGUUGGUGGGGUAAAGGCUCACCAAGCCGACGAUCGGUAGCUGGUCUGAGAGGACGACCAGCCCGACGGGGACUGAGAGACGGCCCAGACUCCUACGGGGGGCAACAGUGGGGAAUGGUGGAGAAUGGGCGAAAGCCUGAUCCAGCAAUGCAGCGUGUGUGAAGAAGGCCUUCGGGUUGUAAAGCUCAUUUGUCAGGGAAGAAACGGUUGUGGCUAAUAUCCAUGGCUAUUGACGGUACCUGAAGAAUAAGCACCGGCUAACUACGUGCCAGCCGCCGCCGUAA